AGUUUUGUGGUUCCUGUGAAAAUUGUGAAAAUUUGGAGGUUCUUUUCAUUGAAAUUGUUUUAACUUGGUUUUAAUUUUGGUGAAUUCCAGUUGCUUAUUUUUAUUCAAUUCAAUUCAAUUCAAUCUACCAAUUCAGUCAUUUAAUAAUAGCUUACUUUGAUAGCUAUACGAUGGACGUAACCCGUGCUCAGGUUACUUGUGACCAUUCUUAUGCUGAGGAUUUCUGGUGUGGCAUAUGCCACCGGUUGGCGUUGGCUCCACGGAUCCAUGAUGGUGGUUAUGGUCAGGUCUUUUGUCGCCGUGUUUUUUGCUCAAGCUGUAUUGAUUGCACUUCCUUCAAUCCCGAAGCUAGAACUCGUAUUGGCCCGAGAGGAGAAAAGAUUUAUGCCUGUCCUACUGAAGGGUGUUUUCAAAACUUUGUACCUCCAUUUUUUCGCUUUAUGAGCAAGAUGGAAGAGGGACUGUACAAGGCUCUGUCCAUUAAAUGUUUGAAUUGUAAUAAUUCAUUCAAUGUAUUUCAGUAUGCCACACAUCGGAUCCGUUGCUCUGCUGCUCUUCCCGCUGUUUCAGCCUCCGAUUUCGCGGAUUUUACGCCAGAAGAUUUAAAGGAUAUCCUUUAACAGAUACAAAACUAUUAUUCAAACAUACAUUGAUCAAGCUCCACUCAAAUCAUGAUUAAAUCAAGAAAAAAUCUGUACACAAUUGUAGGAGUCAAAUUUAUAUUUCUAAUACUUUUU